GCACAAUGUUGAUGAUACCAAUGAGGAGCCCUACAUGAAGAGCAAUGGAGUGGACCCUAAGAAAUAACAACCCUCACAGCAGAUGUAGCUCUAGUCUACAGUGUACAUGGUACAUAAAAGUAAAAUAACAAGUAGCCUACAGAACUGAAUGCUGUCUGAUAUUUCAAGAUGUGUUAAGGAAUACAAGAGGAGGAGGGGAAGAGAGAGGGAGGGAAAAUGGAACAUGUGGCAGAAGUAGAGAUGCAUGAAGUGAGAAGAUGUAUGGCCGUUCCACAUUUAGCUUUCAAGUACUCACCACUACGCUGCUCCCACUAAAUGAUUUAGUGGCAGAACAACAAUCCAUCAGCUCUGUGGAAGGUUAUUAUAAAUGCAUUACCUCCCCAAGCCUACCAGUUCAAUGGAGUCGUGCAGGGCCUCAUAAAUAUGGGUCAAUAUAGGGACACACACAAAAGACUCAGGAUGAAUGAAAUAGGCUUUAUUGUUUUAGUGUGAACUUUCACCCUACCUGUGCGUAGAAGCUCUCAGAUCUGAGGCGGGUCUUUUCAAAUGAAGAGACGUGAGUUUAUUCAUUUAUUCAYAGCAUGAUAUCUCCCUAAAUGAUUAAUGUCCCCCCCCCCGCAUGUAUGCUUUUAUGCACCCUCUUUUCUCUCUUAUCUUCCAGACACGAACUGAAGACAGGUCUUCACCUUGAUGGCUACAAAUCGGAUCCCUCUAAUAUUAUUUCAGCAGAGGAUUGUCCCAGGAGGCCUCCCUCCUCCUUCUUGAGGCAGGAGAAUUACAUUUCUGGGAAUGAAACCUCAACCAAUCACAUCUUGGUGGAGCUGAAUCUACAGAACAACGUCUUGGUUUAUUGUGGGUUUCUUGUUUUGUAGAGUUGGAUGUUUUCUUAAGGCUUAAAGUAGGCCAAUGAUCAAUGUAAAACUGUUGGAAUGUGUUCCGUGCCUCAAAAAACAGUAGUUUUCUUUGAUUGUCAAAUAGGGCUAUACAGAUGUGUCCAUUGAGUAAAUUAUAAUGGCUUUUAAAGAAGAGGCAGAACUUUAAAAUUAUGCACUUUAAAUGGUAGGAUGUUUUUGGUAAUCUUUCACAUUCCUAAAGUGACUUAAAUAUUGUUUUUGACUGAAACAAGGAGCUACGGAUAAGCAAUAUGUUUAAAAUGAAUCGCUUGAACCCAUAAAUAUUUGACCAAAUGUCAGAGAACAUAAAUGUCUUGUCGUGAAGAUGUUUGUGCCAUG
rnacentral:lncRNA from 1 species